GCAUUGUCAUAUAGUUGUGCAAUCUCUCUAUGUGCAGUGGGAUAAUAAAAGGGACUUUCCGUGACUAUAUUGGAAUAUACGCCUAUGCAAAUGAGCAGUCGUCGCUUCCCUUAUAUACCAACUACUACGUGAGGCCCAUCAUGAACGCUGUGAGUUUGGAGAAGGCGGCUAAUGAUCUCCCAGUGCGCCUCUUUACCCAGACAGCACGGCAGGAUGAUUCAGCAGUGGCACGGCCGUGAUGCUGACAGCACUGUUGCCAAAAUGACUCAUCCUGAUGAUGAAGCCAAAGAAAGAAAAAGGAGAGAAAACCUCAUGGAAGGAUGAGCUGUUCAUUCAUCUGUAAAGGAAUGUACUGAACACACCCUGAGUUCUUAGCUUUGAGAACUGAAUUCCAAGGGUUGUAUUUCUGAAGUCAGCCCAUGGAGCUCAGUUCUUAAGCCUGGACGCUCCCUAAUCUUGCACAGACAGAUAUGUGACCAGAGCAACCUAAAACGGCAAGAAAUAACCCAAAAGCUCAAGACGGUUGCUGCUGAUUCUGCUCAGUGUCAGCCUUUUUCCAUGCUGAAGAGGACAUGGAUCAAAGCAAGAUCAACUCACUGUGGAACUUUCUCACCAUCCUUUAUAAAACAAGUCAAAGUAUCCAUUCAUUAAUCACUACCCACCCAGCACAAAUAAACAGCUUGCACCAAGUAUCGACUAUAUGCAUUGUAAAGCGGAGCAUGGUCCAUAUGGGCAGCCACAAUGUGUCUCCCCUCUUUUCUCUAGUUUGGCCUCAAAACUGACAGUUGGUAGAUUAGUUAACCAAAAAAUGCAAGUAAUUCAUCAUGGAGACGGGGGUUUAAUGUAAACAGUAUGUUGCCCCUAGAGGUUGUUUCCAUGAUGAUGAAGGGAGGAGAUGAGCCAGAUGGAUCUCUGCAUACAAUUUAUGACGCCAAUAAAUCAGUAUAAAUGCAUAUGGUUCCACGACUGACACACACACACACACACACACACACACACACACACACACACACACACACACACACACACACACACACACACACACACACACACACACACACACACACACACACACACACACACACACACACACACACACACGUCUUUUAAGAGGUUCCCAAAAAGAACAAUGUGUCCAGUUCAUUAUGUUAUGUUAUUGACAGCGGCAGGGAGAGUGACUGGAGAGUAUGAAGUUAAAACUUCUUCGGGAUCGGUGUCCCUUCCACGGGACGGUUGAGCUAACGUAGGCUAAUGCGAUUAGCAUGAGGUUGUAAGUUACAAGAAAUUUCCCCAGGAGAUAGUCAUAUCUGAUAUUGGCAGAAAGCUUAAAUUCUUGUUAAUCUAACUGCACUGUCCAAAUUACAUUAGCUAUUACAGUGAAAGAAUAGCAUGCUAUUGAUUGAGGAGAGUGCACAAUUUUGAACAUGAAAAGAUUUUAAUAAACACAUUAGGCACAUUUGGGCAGUCUUGAUACAACAUUUUGAACAGAAAUGCAAUGGUUCAUUAGAUCAGUCUAAAACUUUGCACAUACACUGCUGCUAUGUAGUGGCCGAAAUCUAAUUUGCACCUGGGCUGGAAUAAUACAUUAUGGCCUUUCCCUUGAAUUUCAAAGAUGAUGGCACAUCAUAUUAUCUUUUACCAGAUCUAUUCUGUUAUAUUCUCCUACAUUCCUUUCACAUUUCCACAAACUUCAAAGUGUUUCCUUUCAAAUGGUACCAAGAAAAUGCAUAUCCUUGCUUCAGGGCCUUUGCUACAGGCAGUUAGAUUUGGGAAUGUCAUUUUAGAUGAAAAUUUAAGAAAAGGGGUGGAUCCUUCAUUUGAAAAACAUUACAGAAUUCACAAUACACUAAGUGUGCGCCUUCAGGCCCAUAUUUCACUUCCACAUAUCUACAACACAAAAUCCAUGUGUACAUGUGUGUGUAUAUGUCCCCAGCUAGCCAUGUUUCUGUGAAACGGAGUAUGUUACAAUCCCGGAUAUCUCUUUGGAAAGCAACUCUUGCCCUGAUUUUGUCAACUUUGUUAACUAGGGACUGGACAUUAGUGAGUAAUAUACUCGGGAAGCGGUGGGUGGUGUGUGCGCAUCCGAAGCCUCACUAGAAGACUGUUCCGGGCACUCUGUCCUCCGGCGGCGUUGUUUUGGGUCGGCCUCUGAAGUCAGUUCAAAUGCCCUGGGAGGUGCAGACAAAGGAUCCGCUUUGGGAAAGUCGUAUUCCUGGUCGUAGUGCUGGUUGUGCUGAAUGGACUCUUGGAAAGCCCUUUGUUAACAUAGAGAGAGUAUGGUAACAUCAAAAGGUUGGGAACGGAACAAUAUUUCGGAAAUCCAACCAG
rnacentral:lncRNA from 1 species